rnacentral:tRNA from 1 species
CCUUCGAUAGCUCAGUUGGAAGAGCGCAAGACUGUAAAUCUUGCGGUCGCUGGUUCGAACCCGGCUCGAAGGA